ACUAAUACAGCCGACCACUUUCAUUUUUCAUUCUUCUCCACGGUUGCUUUGCCCUUGCGGAUUGUCAUGUUCAUGUUCAUCGAAAUUUGGACCUCUUCUUCAUCGAGGAGCUAAAUUUGAUAUUGAAACAUGCGCGACAAAUCUGACACUAAUUUUUUCGAUAUAGGAUUUGCCUUGCUAUCGACGACACUUGAUUCACCGCUUGAUUCU
rnacentral:lncRNA from 1 species